CCAAGACGAUGAUACGUAGCCGACCUGAGAGGGUGAUCGGCCACAUUGGGACUGAGACACGGCCCAAACUCCUACGGGAGGCAGCAGUAGGGAAUCUUCCGCAAUGGACGAAAGUCUGACGGAGCAACGCCGCGUGAGUGAAGAAGGUUUUCGGAUCGUAAAGCUCUGUUGUCGGAGAAGAACAAGUAGGAGAGUAACUGUUCCUACCUUGACGGUACCCGACCAGAAAGCCACGGCUAACUACGUGCCAGCAGCCGCGGUAAUACGUAGGUGGCAAGCGUUGUCCGGAUUUAUUGGGCGUAAAGCGAGCGCAGGUGGUUUCUUAAGUCUGAUGUGAAAGCCCACGGCUCAACCGUGGAAGGUCGUUGGAAACUGGGGAACUUGAAUGCAGAAGAGGAGAGUGGAAUUCCAUGUGUAGCGGUGAAAUGCGUAGAUAUAUGGAGGAACACCAGUGGCGAAGGCGACUCUCUGGUCUGUUAUUGACACUGAGGCUCGAAAGAGUGGGGAGCAAACAGGAUUAGAUACCCUGGUAGUCCACGCCGUAAACGAUGAGUGCUAAGUGUUGGAGGGCUUCCACCCUUCAGUGCUGCAGUUAACGCAUUAAGCACUCCGCCUGGGGAGUACGGCCGCAAGGCUGAAACUCAAAAGGAAUUGACGGGGACCCGCACAAGCGGUGGAGCAUGUGGUUUAAUUUCGAAGCAACGCGAAGAACCUUACCAGGUCUUGACAUCCCUUUGACACUCCUAGAGAUAGGACGUUCCCUUCGGGACAGGUGACAGGUGUGCAUGCUGUCGUCAGCUCCGU
rnacentral:rRNA from 1 species